UCCGGGGCAGACAUCGUCAAUCAAUCCCAACUCAACUUCCCCUUUGCAUCUUUUGCAGGAAAGCACUCCCAGGCAGACACUCUCGAUGGAUGGGAACUGGCACAUGAGAUUAAACACAUUCCAUGGGGAAAGCUGAGUGGAAGGAAGUACGAUGGCUCCCAGAAGGCAGCAGGUCCUUGGCUGAGAUGGAGAACAGCCAGAUGGAUGGGGCUCCUGAGAUAGAAACCGAACCUCAACAUCAGAGAUGGUCCCCACACACUACAUCCAGGGAGCCACGUUGGACCUGCCAACAUCCCGGGCCUUCAGGCUCAGCACAGCGACAUCCCUGCAUGGGAUUUUGGAAGGCACCGAAAAC
rnacentral:lncRNA from 1 species